rnacentral:lncRNA from 1 species
ACAUUUCAACAGAGAACUAACGAUAAGCAAUUUCAGCACUAAUUAUGGAAAUAUCGACCAAUAGAAGUACGAAGAAAAUGGACCUAUAGAGCAACAAGUCUUUGAAUCUAAAAGUGUUAGGAUCGGAAACUUCGAUCUGCGACAAGGACUCGAAUUAGAAUCUACCUCGACGGAACUCUAGUUUUGAGACAAGAAUUAAAAAAACAGAGGAAGAAAACAUAAUAAUCUUUGUUUGGCUAUGUUUCCAUGCCUCUCUAUUUCUGUCUGUGCGCCCUCUGUUAUGGAUGCAUGUGUGCGUGUUUUUUUGGUUCUUUUCUGAGAAGACAGGGUGCUUGGGUCCGUUAGGAAGGCUAGCAACUGAAGAUGGUCGCGCGCGCUUGUGCUCGUUCGAAAAUUGAGUGAAGGCUCGUUUGGAGGUGGGCAGCAGCGUUGGUGUGGGGGUCACAGUCCAGCUAGGUGUUCCAAGGUUAGAGAAGAAGAAAG